AACGGUAAGGCCCUUCGGGGUACACGAGUGGCGAACGGGUGAGUAACACGUGGGUGAUCUGCCCUGCACUUCGGGAUAAGCCUGGGAAACUGGGUCUAAUACCGGAUAUGACUACGAAUCGCAUGGUUUGUGGUGGAAAGCUUUUGCGGUGUGGGAUGGGCCCGCGGCCUAUCAGCUUGUUGGUGGGGUGAUGGCCUACCAAGGCGACGACGGGUAGCCGGCCUGAGAGGGUGUCCGGCCACACUGGGACUGAGAUACGGCCCAGACUCCUACGGGAGGCAGCAGUGGGGAAUAUUGGACAAUGGGCGAAAGCCUGAUGCAGCGACGCCGCGUGAGGGAUGACGGCCUUCGGGUUGUAAACCUCUUUCAGUAUCGACGAAGCGCAAGUGACGGUAGGUACAGAAGAAGGACCGGCCAACUACGUGCCAGCAGCCGCGGUAAUACGUAGGGUCCGAGCGUUGUCCGGAAUUACUGGGCGUAAAGAGCUCGUAGGUGGUUUGUCGCGUUGUUCGUGAAAACUCACAGCUCAACUGUGGGCGUGCGGGCGAUACGGGCAGACUGGAGUACUGCAGGGGAGACUGGAAUUCCUGGUGUAGCGGUGGAAUGCGCAGAUAUCAGGAGGAACACCGGUGGCGAAGGCGGGUCUCUGGGCAGUAACUGACGCUGAGGAGCGAAAGCGUGGGGAGCGAACAGGAUUAGAUACCCUGGUAGAAUCACUAGUGAAUU
rnacentral:rRNA from 1 species